rnacentral:rRNA from 1 species
UGGGGAAUAUUGCACAAUGGGCGCAAGCCUGAUGCAGCCAUGCCGCGUGUAUGAAGAAGGCCUUCGGGUUGUAAAGCACUUUCAGCGGGGAGGAAGGCGGUGAGGUUAAUAACCUCAUCGAUUGACGUUACCCGCAGAAGAAGCACCGGCUAACUCCGUGCCAGCAGCCGCGGUAAUACGGAGGGUGCAAGCGUUAAUCGGAAUUACUGGGCGUAAAGCGCACGCAGGCGGUUUGUUAAGUCAGAUGUGAAAUCCCCGGGCUCAACCUGGGAACUGCAUCUGAUACUGGCAAGCUUGAGUCUCGUAGAGGGGGGUAGAAUUCCAGGUGUAGCGGUGAAAUGCGUAGAGAUCUGGAGGAAUACCGGUGGCGAAGGCGGCCCCCUGGACGAAGACUGACGCUCAGGUGCGAAAGCGUGGGGAGCAAACAGG